AGGCGCAGCGAGCCUAGCCUCCCCGCGCCCUGGGCAAGUGUGGCCAUGGAGAAUCAGGUGUUGACGCCGCAUGUCUACUGGGCUCAGCGACACCGCGAGCUAUAUCUGCGCGUGGAGCUGAGUGACGUACAGAACCCUGCCAUCAGCAUCACUGAAAACGUGCUGCAUUUCAAAGGUCAGUAUCCCAGCAAAUGCUCCCAUCUCUAUACACAGUUAAGGAGGUGUGGUGGUGGUUUCCCUUUUUUUAAAAAAAUGUAUGUCUUACUUGUUUUUUGCUGAUGUUCACGCCUCUGAUCCUCAUGAGGUAAGCUAAAUUGUUUUGAAAUAUAUGAUUAGAAAAGUCAAAGAAUUGGUUUAAAAUCCUGUUUCCCCCAUGGAGAGGCAGUAGAUACA
rnacentral:sRNA from 1 species